rnacentral:rRNA from 1 species
GAUGAACGCUGGCGGCGUGCCUAAUACAUGCAAGUCGAGCGAACAGACGAGGAGCUUGCUCCUCUGACGUUAGCGGCGGACGGGUGAGUAACACGUGGAUAACCUACCUAUAAGACGGGGAUAACUUCGGGAAACCGGAGCUAAUACCGGAUAAUAUAUUGAACCGCAUGGUUCAAUAGUGAAAGACGGUUUUGCUGUCACUUAUAGAUGGACCCGCGCCGCCUUAGCUAGUUGGUAAGUUAACGGCCUACCAAGGCAACGAAUCGUAGCCGACCUGAGAGGGUGAUCGGCCACACUGGAACUGCGACACGGUCCUGACUACUACGGGCGGCAGCCGUAGGGAAUCUUCCGCAAUCGGCGAAAGCCUGACGGCGCCCCGCCGCGUGAGUGCUGACGGUCUUCGGAUCGUAAAGCUCUCUUAUUAGGGAAGAACAAGUGUGUAAGUCACUAUGCACGUCGUGACGGUCCCUAAUCAGAAAGCCCCGGCUAACUACGUG